GGGGGCGAUCGGUUUCGACUGGAAGCUGUUCGGCUUGCGGUGGCGUGCCGAGGUUGCCGGGAUGGCCUCGUUAAUCCCCCGGCAAAGGCAUCAACUGCCAACAACAACUACGCUCUCGCCGCCUAGUAAAGGCGGUACGCCGUAACGGACCUUGCUCGAGGGGACGUCACGGCGCACGAAAUUCGAGCUAGCGGCCGGCGUGCCCGACGCCGAUCCGUGAAACCUUAGGGCUGGUUCGACGAGCAGCUUGUCCGGGAGCGGCGCGGCGAACGAGAUCAAAGCACGGACUACGCACGUAGAAGCCCAUUUCGACCCUUCUCAGGACGCGGGUUCGAUUCCCGCCGCCUCCACCA
rnacentral:tmRNA from 1 species